rnacentral:rRNA from 1 species
UACGGAGGGUGCGAGCGUUAAUCGGAAUUACUGGGCGUAAAGCGCGCGUAGGCGGUUUGUUAAGUCGGAUGUGAAAUCCCCGGGCUCAACCUGGGAAUGGCAUUCGAUACUGGCCGACUAGAGUACGAGAGAGGGAGGUAGAAUUCCACGUGUAGCGGUGAAAUGCGUAGAUAUGUGGAGGAAUACCGGUGGCGAAGGCGGCCUCCUGGCUCGAUACUGACGCUGAGGUGCGAAAGCGUGGGUAGCAAACAGGAUUAGAUACCCUGGUAGUCCACGCCGUAAACGAUGUCUACUAGCCGUUGGGAGACUUGAUUUCUUAGUGGCGCAGCUAACGCACUAAGUAGACCGCCUGGGGAGUACGGCCGCAAGGUUAAAACUCAAAUGAAUUGACGGGGGCCCGCACAAGCGGUGGAGCAUGUGGUUUAAUUCGAUGCAACGCGAAGAACCUUACCAGGUCUUGACAUCCUCGGAACUUGGCAGAGAUGCCUUGGUGCCUUCGGGAACCGAGAGACAGGUGCUGCAUGGCUGUCGUCAGCUCGUGUCGUGAGAUGUUGGGUUAAGUCCCGUAACGAGCGCAACCCUUGUCCUUAGUUGCCAGCGCGUAAUGGCGGGAACUCUAAGGAGACUGCCGGUGACAAACCGGAGGAAGGUGGGGACGACGUCAAGUCAUCAUGGCCCUUACGACCUGGGCUACACACGUGCUACAAUGGAACGCACAGAGGGUUGCAACCUCGCGAGAGUGAGCCAAUCCCACAAAACGUUUCGUAGUCCGGAUCGGAGUCUGCAACUCGACUCCGUGAAGUCGGAAUCGCUAGUAAUCGCGGAUCAGAAUGCCGCGGUGAAUACGUUCCCGGGCCU